rnacentral:rRNA from 1 species
UACGUAGGGGGCAAGCGUUGUCCGGAAUCAUUGGGCGUAAAGAGCGUGUAGGCGGCCCGAUAAGUCCGCUGUGAAAGUCCAGGGCUCAACCCUGGAAUGCCGGUGGAUACUGUCGGGCUCGAAUCCGGAAGAGGUGAGUGGAAUUCCUGGUGUAGCGGUGAAAUGCGUAGAUAUCUGGAGGAACACCGGUGGCGAAGGCGGCAUCCUGGACCGGCAUUGACGCUGAAUAGCGAAAGCCAGGGGAGCAAACGGG